GCUAUAAAAAGAUUACCCUGACAGUUAUGUCAGAGCGAGAUGGGUGAAAUUCCGAUCCAUUGUGGGCUAAAGCUUAAUAAUGACAGACGACCUGCUCACCCUAGAAACGUGAAAAAAUCUCAGUGAAAACAAUAACAAAGUACUUGAAUGCAUAUGGUAAAUUAAUGAAACAUCUUUUCUGACAUGCAUGCGGUGAGAAAACAAGCACGCCGGCGCUCUUUUAUUUCCGUAGCGGCCGAUGCGUUUCUUUCACAAGUCUAACAGUAAUGCAAGGAAACUGGACCAAAGAGGAGCACUGAAGCUCAUUCGGGAAAUAGGGAAGUUUAUUGUACAGAGCCUCCGUGGAAAACUGGAGGGAAGACGGAUAAGGCGACGCCCCUGUGCUUGCAAAACAAUUUGAAUUCGAACGUGAUCAGAUAAAAUAGCUGAGCUGCAUCCGCUUUCUUCUACGAUCACCAUCUGUAGAACUUUGCCAUAAAUACAUCAUCCUUGUACUUAAAGCAUUCA